rnacentral:rRNA from 1 species
GAUGAACGCUGGCGGCGUGCCUAAUACAUGCAAGUCGAGCGAACAGACGAGGAGCUUGCUCCUCUGACGUUAGCGGCGGACGGGUGAGGAACACGUGGAUAACCUACCUAUAAGACUGGGAUAACUUCGGGAAACCGGAGCUAAUACCGUAUAAUAUAUUGAACCGCAUGGUUCAAUAGUUAAAGACGGUUUUGCUGUCACUUAUAGAUGGAUCCGCGCCGCAUUAGCUAUUUGGUAAGGUAACGGCUUACCAAGGCAACGAUGCGUAGCCGACCUGAGAGGGUGAUCCGCCACACUGGAACUGAGACACGGUCCAGACUCCUACGGGAGGCAGCAGUAGGGAAUCUUCCGAAAUGGGCGAAAGCCUGACGGAGCAACGCCGCGUGAGUGAUGAAGGUCUUCGGAUCGUAAAACUCUGUUAUUAGGGAAGAACAAAUGUGUAAGUAACUAUGCACGUCUUGACGGUACCUAAUCAGAAAGCCACGGCUAACUACGUG